rnacentral:lncRNA from 1 species
GGUAGGACCACGGCCUCACCGACAUGGCCCCAGCUAAUUGGUGGAUCCUGGGUUCAACCCUCCCGGAAUCCGAGCGUGGGUCCGGGGCCGGGAAGAAAAGAAAGUCACCCAGGACUACAAUUCCCACAAUGCACUACAUGGGCUUCUCUCGACGUGUGCUCUUGGAAAACGUAGUACAUUGUGGGGCAAGAUUUAAAAAUGCAGGUCCAUAAAGACAGAGAUGAGAAAGCGACAUACAUUCAGGAUAUAGACUUGGUCCAAGGAGCAGAAAGAUACUCAGAUUCCCUUCUGGUUUAUGUGGAAGACGGUCAUGUUAAAUUUCUCUUGAGAACACUCAUUGAGAGGGCCUCCAGGCCUUUCCCAUCAUCAUUGCUGAUGGAGCCCAUGACCAACACUUACCACGGAGGUGUGGGGGAGCAAUGGGAAGGUAGGAACACCAUUUGGCCUGGCCUCUCAAAGGUUGGUACUGGCAAAUGAGGUUCUACCUAUAGUUAGUGCAUCAAGAAAGCCCAUUUGUUAGAAAUGCAUGAUAUAUACAUUGCAACAAUACGACGUUUCUUGAAACUGCCUUUUUUUUUUUUUUGCAUUUCUUCCUUUUAAAACAUCUAGGAACCCUAAAAACUGGUCUAGGCCUCUCUGUAUAGGUGAGAGGAGUAACAGAUAAUUUUUAUUGACUAACCUUUCAUUUCCAACCUCUUUCUCCCUUUUCUGUCUCUGUUAGAAAGGCUGUUAAAACAAAAACAAAAAAACAAAGAAAAAUGGAUUUUCUGGUCUGCCUUGAAGUCAGCAGGGGCCAUAUGAUAGUGUUGGGCAAUGAGAUAUAAGCCAAAAUCUGCUGUCUCUUCUUUUCCUUCUUCCUUAUUCCUCUCUGGGACUCAAACAUGAUGGCUGGCAAUGUGGCAGCCACUGGCAAUCAGGAGGCAACUGGCAUGAGAAUGAAGGCUAACAUGGUAAGGAUGGCAGAGAAAAAGAGGAUUCAGUAUCUGGUAGCAAUUUUGGGCCACUUUGCCAGCACUGAAAGUACUUACAGACUUCUUGCUAGGUGAGACAAGUACCUUAUACGUUUAAGCUGCUAUUAAUUAGAUUUUCUUGUACUCACAGAAAAAUGACUUUCUAUCUGAUAUAGAGAUUUUGCCAAAACCACCACUGAAACAAAUUCCAUAUGUAUUUGCUUCCUCACUACCUCCUACAAGUGGCUAAUUAAGCAGUCAUCCCAAAACACAGUUAAAACAACCAUAUACACAAAAUGCUGCAAGUCUGAAGUUAUCAGUUCUCCAGAGACCUAAUUAGAUAUAUCUUUGAAAAGGUAUAGACUGAUCAAAGCAUUUACCUUUGUGUUCCAGCCCCAAAGCCCCCUAUUUAAAAUGACUGUAAUUUUUCAUUUGAAUCGCCACUCUCUUCAUUAAAGGGGAAAGGGGAAAUCGCUUAUGAUUACUCAUUUUUGGGUCUUCAGAUCUUACUUUGAGUCUGGUAUACAGAAGGCAACCAGCAAAUGUUUAUCAUAUUGAUAAAUUGUGAUAACACCUUGCAAGGAAAAAUAACUUGCCAUUUAGGGGUUGUUCUUUUUUGUCCCUUUAUGAGAAGACUCCUCAGACUUUAUUAGGCUGCCCCAGUCCAUGGACAAUACUGACUCAGGCUGUUGCUAUCCUAAAGACGCCUUCUAGAAGUUGUCUAAGAUCUCCCAGUGGUGUGGAAGAGAUAAAAAGAAUAGGUAACUCAAAUUAGGGAGUUGUUUUUCUCAGAAGACUUCCCUCUUACAGUAACUGGCCAGCACUUCUAAUAACUGUAAGUGAGGAGUUGUUUGUUUCUAGAUUAUCUCUUCUUUCUUAGCUAUGUAACUCCAAAUGAGUAAUUUGUAGAAUCAUGUGGAAGUUUUCUCCUCUCUCCAUGUGGGUGAAUCUCAGGGCAUCUUCUGUAGGAGUUUGAAAGCCUCUGAGUUUGGAUUUGGCAUCCUAAACAGAAGGAUCAAAAUCCAGCCUUAACACCUUUUUGACUAAAACCACCUUAUAUCUGUGGUUGUUAAAAUAAAGCUUUCCUGUCGGCUCA